AUUGAACGCUGGCGGCAGGCCUAACACAUGCAAGUCGAACGAGUGGCGGACGGGUGAGUAAUGUCUGGGAAACUGCCCGAUGGAGGGGGAUAACUACUGGAAACGGUAGAUAAUAACGCAUAUCAUGUGAUGUGCCGCGGUGGGAUUAGCUUGUAGGUGAGGUAACGGCUAACCUAGGCGACGAUCCCUAGCUGGUCUGAGAGGAUGACCAGCCACACGGGAACUGAGACACGGUCCAGACUCCGACGGGAGGCAGCAGUGGGGAAGAUUGCACAAUGGGCGCAAGCCUGAUGCAGCCAUGCCGCGUGUAUGAAGAAGGCCUUCGGGUUGUAAAGUACUUUCAGCGGGGAGGCGUUACUCGCAGAAGAAGCACCGGCUAACUCCGUGCCAGCAGCCGCGGUAAUUC
rnacentral:rRNA from 1 species